UUAUCGUUUAUUUGAUAGUACCUUACUACUUGGAUAACCGUGGUAAUUCUAGAGCUAAUACAUGCUAAAAAUCCCAACUUCGGAAGGGAUGUAUUUAUUAGAUUAAAAACCAAUGCCCUUCUGGGCUCUCUGGUGAUUCAUAAUAACUUCUCGAAUCGCACGGCCUUGUGCCGGCGAUGGUUCAUUCAAAUUUCUGCCCUAUCAACUUUCGACGGCUGGGUCUUGGCCAGCCAUGGUGACAACGGGUAACGGAGGGUUAGGGCUCGACCCCGGAGAAGGAGCCUGAGAAACGGCUACUACAUCCAAGGAAGGCAGCAGGCGCGCAAAUUACCCAAUCCCGACUCGGGGAGGUAGUGACAAUAAAUACUGAUACAGGGCUCUUUUGGGUCUUGUAAUUGGAAUGAGUACAAUUUAAAUCCCUUAACGAGGAACAAUUGGAGGGCAAGUCUGGUGCCAGCAGCCGCGGUAAUUCCAGCUCCAAUAGCGUAUAUUAAAGUUGUUGCAGUUAAAAAGCUCGUAGUUGAACCUUGGGCCUGGCUGGCCGGUCCGCCUCACCGCGUGCACUGGUCCGGCCGGGCCUUUCCCUCUGGGGAACCGCAUGCCCUUCACUGGGUGGGGUCGGGGAACCAGUACUUUUACUUUGAACAAAUUAGAUCGCUUAAAGAAGGCCUAUGCUCGAAUACAUUAGCAUGGAAUAAUAGAAUAGGAACGUGUGGUUCUAUUUUUGUUGGUUUCUAGGACCGCCGUAAUGAUUAAUAGGGACAGUCGGGGGCAUCAGUAUUCAAUUGUCAGAGGUGAAAUUCUUGGA
rnacentral:rRNA from 1 species